UACUACUAUAAGACGAGAAGACCCCAUGGAGCUUUAAACCCAACUACACCCCCACNCCNAACAACCACUUAACUAAUGGGACACUGUAUGCUUGGUUUUAGGUUGGGGCGACCACGGAGUAGAAAACAACCUCCAUGAUGAACGGGCCCCCCCCCUUAUCUAAGAGCCACACCUCUAAGAAUUAGAACACUAACAUAAAAUGAUCCUUUUCUUGAUCAACGAACCAAGUUACCCUGGGGAUAACAGCGCAAUCCAUUUCAAGAGCCCAU
rnacentral:rRNA from 1 species